AGUGAACGCUGGCGGCGUGCUUAACACAUGCAAGUCGAACGAGAACGGAAUAUAGCUUGCUAUAUUUGUCAGCUAAGUGGCGCACGGGUGAGUAAUGUAUAGAUAACCUGCCCUUAAGAAAGGAAUAACAGUUGGAAACGACUGCUAAUGCCCUAUAUGCCUUUAAUACAUAAGUAUGCAAGGGAAACGCUUUAGUGCUUAAGGAUGGGUCUGUAUGGUAUCAGCUUGUUGGUGAGGUAAUGGCUCACCAAGGCUAUGACGCCUAACUGGUUUGAGAGGAUGAGCAGUCACACUGGAACUGAGACACGGUCCGGACUCCUACGGGAGGCAGCAGUGGGGAAUAUUGCACAAUGGACGAAAGUCUGAUGCAGCAACGCCGCGUGGAGGAUGACACAUUUCGGUGCGUAAACUCCUUUUAUAUAGGAAGAUAAUGACGGUACUAUAUGAAUAAGCACCGGCUAACUCCGUGCCAGCAGCCGCCGUAA
rnacentral:rRNA from 1 species